AGAGCUGUAGCUCAGUGGUAGAGCACUUGCCUGGCAUGCGUGAAGCCCUGGGUUCAAACCUCAGCACCACAU
rnacentral:tRNA from 1 species